GGUCUGAACCUGCCCGAGGGGAGACUGAGCUGAGCUCUUAGGCAGAAGCUCUUCCCUGUGAGGGUGCUGAGGCACUGGCACAGGGUGCCCAGAGAAGCUGUGGCUGCCCCAUCCCUGGCAGUGCUCAAGGCCAGGUUGGACACAGGGGCUUGGAGCAAGCUGCUCCAGUGGAAGGGGUCCCUGCCCGUGGCAGGGGUUGGGGCUGGAGGAGCUUUGGGGUCCCUUCCAGCACAAAGCAGGCUGGGGCUCUUGGAGGGGAGGUGACAGCCUGGUUUACAGCCCCCAUGCAGCUCAGCACCAUUUACACGUUGAGAAUCACUGCACACAAUUCCAGAUGGAUUUCUUUGGGAUACAGGAGGCUCAGGGUGAGGGAUCCCACAGGGCCACCAUUGCACCCCAUGUCCCACCAAUUACAUGAGCAAGCUCACACUAACCUGAGCUCUUCCACCCUGCCCAAGGACAGCGCACCACCAUGCUCUGCACAUGCAUUCAAAGCACCAUAGGGAGACGCUGCCUACCAGGCUUUCCUCAGACAACUCAAACAUUUCCUCCUGACAGGUACAAGCCGUUUGCCAGAGGUGGCCGAUGUCCAAGCCCCAUCCAACCUGGACACUGCCAGGCCCCUCAUCUUCUAAGGUCUCCCCUUCAGGAGCCUUCUCCAGGCUGCCCCAGCCCAGCUCUCUCAGCCUGGCUCCAGAGCAGAGCUGCUUCAGCCCUCGCAGCAUCUCCAUGGCCUCCUCUGCACUCGCUCCAACAGCUCCAGGUCCCUCUGGUGCUGCUGCCCCAGAGCUGGGCCAGGGCUGCAGGGGGGGAUCCCCAGAGAGCAGCAGAGGGGCAGGAUCCCCUCCCUGAGCUGCUGCUCCCACUCUGGGGGUGCACCCAGCGCAUGGGGGGGGGUGUCGGGUCUGGACUCAAGCACACACUGAAUCCAGAGCCUGAAAGGAACAGGACAGGGAAGAGCAGCAACAGGGAAGAGCAAGCUGUAUCCUCUGCCCAGCCCUGCACCCAUGCAGAGCCACUUGCACCAGAGCAGGAAGCAUCUGGUCCACAUCUGCCAUCCCAGCAGCUCCUGUGAUCAAUACGAUCCUCUCAGAUUUUCACUCAAGCCAAUAAAAGCACAAUAAAAGGCAGUUCCAACCCGUGACUGAUGGAGAGCUGAGUGAAGCAGCGGAUCCAGCUAAUCAAAGUACAUCAUUAGCACUGAGAGACCGAGGGAGGUGGCAGCGAUAGUCACCAGAUGGAAGAGUGAGUAAACCCACACCAGGCACCGGCAGCUUUAUAAAUAAAGCUCUUGUCAAAU